rnacentral:rRNA from 1 species
CACGGGGGGAGCAAGCGUUGUUCGGAAUUACUGGGCGUAAAGGGCGUGUAGGCGGUCAAGUAAGUGGAAUGUGAAACGCCUCGGCUUACCCGAGGACCUGCAUCCCAAACUGCUUGGCUUGAGUAUGGGAGAGGAUGAGGGAAUUCCUGGUGUAGCGGUGAAAUGCGUAGAUAUCAGGAGGAACACCGGUGGCGAAAGCGCUCAUCUGGCCCAAUACUGACGCUGAGGCGCGAAAGCUAGGGGAGCGAACAGG